rnacentral:rRNA from 1 species
GACGAACGCUGGCGGCGUGCUUAACACAUGCAAGUCGAACGGAAAGGCCCUGCUUUUGUGGGGUGCUCGAGUGGCGAACGGGUGAGUAACACGUGAGUAACCUGCCCUUGACUUUGGGAUAACUUCAGGAAACUGGGGCUAAUACCGGAUAGGAGCUCCUGCUGCAUGGUGGGGGUUGGAAAGUUUCGGCGGUUGGGGAUGGGCUCGCGGCUUAUCAGCUUGUCGGUGGGGUAGUGGCUUACCAAGGCUUUGACGGGUAGCCGGCCUGAGAGGGUGACCGGCCACAUUGGGACUGAGAUACGGCCCAGACUCCUACGGGAGGCAGCAGUGGGGAAUAUUGCACAAUGGGCGGAAGCCUGAUGCAGCAACGCCGCGUGCGGGAUGACGGCCUUCGGGUUGUAAACCGCUUUCGCCUGUGACGAAGCGUGAGUGACGGUAAUGGGUAAAGAAGCACCGGCUAACUACGUG